UUCGUCUCACGUGACUGGCGAAAGACCGGAUCAGUCCGGUCAAGAUGGGUAUCCAUCGGGAAGCGUGAGAUUUUUCAUCAGCCGUGCGCCUGGGUAGCCGAA
rnacentral:ncRNA from 2 species